GAAAGGGUGCGUACACGUGGGAAAUUACCAAGAAGUGGGGAAUAGCUCGACGAAAGUCGAAUUAAUACCGCAUACGAUCGCAAGAUCAAAGCCGGGGACCGCAAGGCCUGGCGCUUUUUGAGAAGCCCGCGGCCCAUCAGCUAGUUGGCGGGGUAACGGCCCACCAAGGCUAUAGACGGGUAGCUGGUCUGAGAGGACGACCAGCCAAACUGGAACUGAGACACGGUCCAGAACCUAACGGGUGGCAGCAGCCGAAGAAUUUUUCACAAUGGACGAAAGUCUGAUGGAGCGACG
rnacentral:rRNA from 1 species